rnacentral:lncRNA from 1 species
GGAGUUUGUUAGAUGAGUGCCUUAGAAGCCAAUCUUGGCUGAUGAAUACAUUUUUCUAGGACAUAUUUUUUAGACUUGUUGGGCAAUUUUUACUACCAAUCAUAUUGCAUGUGUCCAUGAUUUAUCCUAGAAAUUAACAAAGGUGAUUUUGUAUAUUCUCAAGAUAUUGAGAAUUUGAGACAUACAUCAUUAGUAAUUAAUUUCUAAAUACUUUUGAUCAUAAGAUUGUCAUGGAGGAUAGUGAUCAAUCUAUUUAAGAUUGGUGCAUGAAUCACUUCCCUUCUGGAUAGAU